rnacentral:rRNA from 1 species
CUACGGGACGCAGCAGUGAGGAAUUUUGCGCAAUGGGGGCAACCCUGACGCAGCAACGCCGCGUGAGUGAAGAAGGCCUUUGGGUCGUAAAGCUCUGUCAACUGGGAAGAAGUUAUAGCUAUUAAAUAGAUAGUUGUAUUGACGGUACCAGUGGAGGAAGCGCCGGCUAACUCCGUGCCAGCAGCCGCGGUAAUACGGGGGGCGCAAGCGUUAUUCGGAAUUAUUGGGCGUAAAGGGCGCGCAGGCGGUCUUGUCAGUCAGAUGUGAAAGCCCGGGGCUCAACCCUGGAAGUGCAUUUGAAACAGCAAGACUUGAGUACGGGAGAGGAGAGAGGAAUUCCUGGUGUAGAGGUGAAAUUCGUAGAUAUCAGGAGGAACACCGAUGGCGAAGGCAUCUCUCUGGACCGAUACUGACGCUGAGGCGCGAAGGCGUGGGUAGCAAACGGGAUUAGAUACCCUCGUAGUC